GAAAAAGAAAACAUAUUCAUUCAGAUAUUUCAGGGUGAAAUCAAAGGAUUAAACGUAUAUAUGUGUAUAGAAAAGCAUAAAAAAAAUCUCUGUGAGGUGCCUGAAGCAUACUUAUCAUUAACAGCUUUCUCAUUCUGUUUGAACAUUCAAACAGCAUACAACCUUAUAACCUGGUCAAUCUUGGCACGACACACAGGGCAACCCCAUUUCUUUCUUUUGACCUCCUUUAAACAAGACAUGCAACCAGCCAUAUGGCCACAUGGGAUGCAUGCCCCCUCAAUUGGAGCAUCCAAACAUAUAAUGCAAGAUGAAGAAGCACCAUCUUCUCUCUUUUCACCUGUACUAGCUGUUAAGUUCACAGGUGGGGAAGACAUUUCAAUAGGACUAGAAUCAAUUGAUGGAUAGUGAAUUGGACUGUCUUCUACAAUCUCAUCUAUGAUGGGUGUAGCUGAUGGGACUGAAUCAAGGGCUUGAGUAGCUGUCUGCACAGUAGGGAUGUUAGUAUUCUGGAUCACUUGCUGAGUUGAAUUGCCACCAGGGCCAGCUUCAUUUGCGGUCCAAAAAUUACUAGUUGCUUUUGAAGGAGGAGCACUUUGACUGCCAGCAUGCACAUUCCAACUUGUGGAAGCACUUGCUUCACCAGAGUAAGUAUCAUUAACUGGUGCCUCUGCCAUAGCAGACUGGAUGGAGGCAUUGAUUGCCAUUGCUAAUUCUAACUCUUCUCCAGAUGGAGGGGCUGUUGCUUGAAUGGUUGAAGACUCAGAAUUAUUUAGAAAUGCAGGAG
rnacentral:misc_RNA from 1 species